rnacentral:rRNA from 1 species
UAGGGAAUCUUCCGCAAUGGGCGAAAGCCUGACGGAGCAACGCCGCGUGAGUGAUGAAGGUCUUCGGAUCGUAAAACUCUGUUAUUAGGGAAGAACAAAUGUGUAAGUAACUAUGCACGUCUUGACGGUACCUAAUCAGAAAGCCACGGCUAACUACGUGCCAGCAGCCGCGGUAAUACGUAGGUGGCAAGCGUUAUCCGGAAUUAUUGGGCGUAAAGCGCGCGUAGGCGGUUUUUUAAGUCUGAUGUGAAAGUCCACGGCUCAACCGUGGAGGGUCAUUGGAAACUGGAAAACUUGAGUGCAGAAGAGGAAAGUGGAAUUCCAUGUGUAGAGGUGAAAUGCGCAGAGAUAUGGAGGAACACCAGUGGCGAAGGCGACUUUCUGGUCUGUAACUGACGCUGAUGUGCGAAAGCGUGGGGAUCAAACAGG